AGAGUUUGAUCAUGGCUCAGAACGUACGCUGGCGGCACGCCUAACACAUGCAAGUCGAACGAAGUAGCAAUACUUAGUGGCAGACGGGUGAGUAACAUGUAGGUAUCUGCCCUUUGGCCUGGAAUAACACGAGGAAACUUGUGCUAAUACCGGAUAAGUCUUUACGGAGAAAGCUUUAUGCACCAUUGGAUGAGCCUGCACUUGAUUAGUUUGUUGGUGGGGUAAUGGCCUACCAAGACUGUGAUCAAUAGCUGAUUUGAGAGGAUGAUCAGCCACAUUGGGACUGAGACACGGCCCAAACUCCUACGGGAGGCAGCAGUGGGGAAUCUUGCACAAUGGAGGAAACUCUGAUGCAGCGAUGCCGCGUGAGUGAAGAAGGCCCUUGGGUUGUAAAGCUCUUUCGUCGGGGAAGAAAAUGACUGUACCCGAAUAAGAAGGUCCGGCUAACUUCGUGCCAGCAGCCGCGGUAAUACGAAGGGACCUAGCGUAGUUCGGAAUUACUGGGCUUAAAGAGUUCGUAGGUGGUUGAAAAAGUUAGUGGUGAAAUCCCAGAGCUUAACUCUGGAACUGCCAUUAAAACUUUUCAGCUAGAGUAUGAUAGAGGAAAGCAGAAUUUCUAGUGUAGAGGUGAAAUUCGUAGAUAUUAGAAAGAAUACCAAUUGCGAAGGCAGCUUUCUGGAUCAUUACUGACACUGAGGAACGAAAGCAUGGGUAGCGAAGAGGAUUAGAUACCCUCGUAGUCCAUGCCGUAAACGAUGUGUGUUAGACGUUGGAAAUUUAUUUUCAGUGUCGCAGCGAAAGCGAUAAACACACCGCCUGGGGAGUACGACCGCAAGGUUAAAACUCAAAUGAAUUGACGGGGACCCGCACAAGUAGUGGAGCAUGUGGUUUAAUUCGAAGAUACGCGCAGAACCUUACCAACACUUGACAUGUUCGUCGCGACUCUAAGAGAUUAGAGUUUUCGGUUCGGCCGGACGAAACACAGGUGCUGCAUGGCUGUCGUCAGCUCGUGUCGUGAGAUGUUGGGUUAAGUCCCGCAACGAGCGCAACCCUCACUUUUAGUUGCCAUCAUUAAGUUGGGCACUCUGAAAGAACUGCCAGUGAUAAGCUGGAGGAAGGUGGGGAUGACGUCAAGUCCUCAUGGCCCUUACGUGUUGGGCUACACACGUGCUACAAUGGUAUCUACAACAGGAAGCAAGACUGCGAAGUUAAGCAAAUCCCUAAAAGAUACCUCAGUUCGGAUUGCACUCUGCAACUCGAGUGCAUGAAGCUGGAAUUACUAGUAAUCGUGGAUCAGCGUGCCACGGUGAAUGCGUUCCCGGGUCUUGUACACACCGCCCGUCACACCAUGGGAGUUGGUUCUACCUUAAGGCAAGGUUUAAAACCCUUGACCACGGUAUAGUCAGCGACUGGGGUGAAGUCGUAACAAGGUA
rnacentral:rRNA from 1 species